GACGAACGCUGGCGGCGUGCUUAACACAUGCAAGUCGAACGGAAAGGCCCUGCUUUUGUGGGGUGCUCGAGUGGCGAACGGGUGAGUAACACGUGAGUAACCUGCCCUUGACUUUGGGAUAACUUCAGGAAACUGGGGCUAAUACCGGAUAGGAGCUCCUGCUGCAUGGUGGGGGUUGGAAAGUUUCGGCGGUUGGGGAUGGACUCGCGGCUUAUCAGCUUGUUGGUGGGGUAGUGGCUUACCAAGGCUUUGACGGGUAGCCGGCCUGAGAGGGUGACCGGCCACUUUGGGACUGAGAUACGGCCCAGACUCCUACGGGAGGCAGCAGUGGGGAAUAUUGCACAAUGGGCGGGAGCCUGAUGCAGCAACGCCGCGUGCGGGAUGACGGCCUUCGGGUUGUAAACCGCUUUCGCCUGUGACGAAGCGUGAGUGACGGUAAUGGGUAAAGAAGCACCGGCUAACUACGUG
rnacentral:rRNA from 1 species